rnacentral:rRNA from 1 species
AGUGAACGCUGGCGGUAGGCCCAACACAUGCAAGUCGAACGGCAGCACAGGAGAGCUUGCUCUCUGGGUGGCGAGUGGCGGACGGGUGAGGAAUACAUCGGAAUCUACCUUUUCGUGGGGGAUAACGUAGGGAAACUUACGCUAAUACCGCAUACGACCUACGGGUGAAAGUGGGGGACCUCAAGGCCUCACGCGAUUAGAUGAGCCGAAGUCGGAUUAGCUAGUUGGCGGGGUAAUGGCCAACCAAGGCGACGAUCGGUAGCUGGUCUGAGAGGAUGAUCAGCCACACUGGAACUGAGACACGGUCCAGACUCCUACGGGAGGCAGCAGUGGGGAAUAUUGGACAAUGGGCGCAAGCCUGAUCCAGCCAUACCGCGUGGGUGAAGAAGGCCUUCGGGUUGUAAAGCCCUUUUGUUGGGAAAGAAAUCCUGUCGAUUAAUACUCGGUGGGGAUGACGGUACCCAAAGAAUAAGCACCGGCUAACUUCGUGCCAGCAGCCGCGGUAAGAC